rnacentral:ncRNA from 1 species
ACCGCGAGGUUCGGUCUGGAGGGGUCGAAGCGAAGCGGAGACCAUGAGCCGCAGACGAAAGCAACCGAAGGGCGCGAUAACCCGCUAGCAAAACUGCGAGCUGAUGAACAAAAACAUCAUAUGAGGCGUAGGCUGAAGGCGAGUUGGCACAAGACGACGAAGCCAUGUGAUCUAACGGCCACCGUAAAUGAUGCAGCUGUGCAGCGAAAGUUCA